CGGUUAUACCAAGUGAUUAAGUUAUAUUUAUAGGUAAAAAGACAGUUAGGUUUGUAUAUAUUUUAGUUUAUUAAACGUCUAUAAAAAAGUAAAAUUUGUAUAUAGGUAGCUAAUCUAGUAGUAGCUAAUAAUGCUGAAGCUGUGAUAAUCUUGAGGGAAACUGGGAUUAGAUACCCCAUUAUUCUUGAUUGUAAAUAUAAUUAUAUUUACCAGAGUACUAUGAAUAGUUAAAAAUUUAAAACUCAAAGGGCUUGGCGGUGUUUUAGACCAAUCAGGGGAACCUGUCUCGUAAUCGACAAUCCACGUUAUAUCUAACCUCAUUUUGUACCCAGUUUGUAUACCGUCGUCGUCAGGUAACUUUUAAAAAUAUAGAAGUUAGCAAUAAAAAUUAUGUAAAUUAAGACGUCAGAUCAAGGUGCAGCCUAUAGUGAGGAGAGGAUGGGUUACAAUUAUAAAAUUUAUAAUCACGGAAAUUUAAAUGAAAUUAUAUUUAGAAGGAGGACUUGAAAGUAAACUAAAGUAUAUAAAUAGUUUGAAUAAGGCUCUG
rnacentral:rRNA from 1 species